rnacentral:rRNA from 1 species
CGUGUAGGCGGCCAGACAGGUCAGCUGUGAAAACUCGAGGCUCAACCUCGAGACGUCGGUUGAAACCGUUUGGCUAGAGUCCGGAAGAGGAGAGUGGAAUUCCCGGUGUAGCGGUGAAAUGCGCAGAUAUCGGGAAGAACACCCGUGGCGAAGGCGGCUCUCUGGGACGGUACUGACGCUGAGACGCGAAAGCGUGGGGAACGAACA